rnacentral:rRNA from 1 species
AGUAGUCAUACGCUCGUCUCAAAGAUUAAGCCAUGCAUGUGUAAGUAUAAAUAGUUAACUUUGAAACUGCGAAUGGCUCAUUAUAUCAGUUAUAGUUUAUUUGAUGAAGAAUACUAAUUGGAUAACCGUAGUAAUUCAUAGAGCUAAUACAUGUAUAAAGUCUUGUAGACUGCAUUUAUUAGAAUGAAAACCAUAGGUUUCGGCCUAUUCGUGAGUAAUAAUAACUAAUCAUAUCGUAUGCUUAUGUAACGAU